AAAGAACCGUAAACAACCACAACUGCGAUUCAACGUGGUCUUCCUGGUCCAGGACCUGUUUGAGGAACACUGAAAUUAACAUCUGAUAAAGGAAACACAUGAACCUGAUCCUGUAUACCGAGACAAGAUCCGGAUCCUGACUCAGCAUUCAUCAUGACCAUCGGACGGACGGAGGACGAACUGGAGGACAGGAGAGGAUGGGAGGAGGAGGAGGACAGGACACUCUCUCAUCAUCCACGACUCUGAGCACCAUCGCCGUCCAGGCCGGCCAAUCACUGAUCGUCAUCUCUGUCCUCAAGAGUGGUUCCCUGAUCCACCUCCAGCUGGUCCAGGUCCAUCCCGGUCUCUGUGAGAUUGGAUCAAACCAGGAGGAGAAACCAGAAACUGAUCCAGGACCAGCAGCCAGCUGAUGCAGAAGCUAAAGAAACAUGAGCAGGAGGUUCUGUCCUUGGUGGGGAAGACGGAGCGGAGGAAACAGAAGAGGAGCAGGGAAACAGGAGGAAGAGGAGCGGAGCUUCACAGAGCCAUGACAAGCCUCUCUGAAGGAGGGCUGGUCGCUGCUCCUCCGUCUGCUGGAGAGACGACAGGAGGUGCUGACGCUGGCUGCAGAGUUUUAAAC